CAUAACUAGAAUUUUGCUUUACUAAUUGUGUCAUAGUUUGAUUUAGACUGGAUAAUUUCUAAAGGAUUCUUCUGUUGUAUGAAUAGAUAUAUGAACUGGGUUGGAACUGGGACAAUUUAGAACUUCUAGCACAAGGCAGAAACUUCAUGUUAUGAUAAAUGGCAGUGUUUCUGCCAGUUUAGUCAUGGUGCAUUUGAUUGAGAAAUUAGCUGCUGGUGAUACUGGAAGUUUAUCUGUAUCAAUACUUCAGAAGAUGAGCACCAUGUCUAAAAAGCUUAAAAGUCAUCCUGCUUUCUCUGAAUUGUUAGCCCAAUAUUCACAGAGCGGUUAUAGGUAUUAAAUUCAUUUUUGUUGUAAAUCAAAGCAUAUUGAUUCGUGAUACCAUUAUUGAACUUCUGAAAAAGCUUUGGAGCUUAUUUGUU